GGGAAAGUGGCUCAGUGGUAGAGUGCUUGCCUUGCAAGCAUGAGGCCCUGGGUUCGAUUCCUCAGCACCA
rnacentral:tRNA from 1 species